AGCGAACGCUGGCGGCAGGCUUAACACAUGCAAGUCGAGCGGGCACUUCGGUGUCAGCGGCAGACGGGUGAGUAACACGUGGGAACGUUCCCUUUGGUUCGGAAUAACGCUGGGAAACUAGCGCUAAUACCGGAUACGCCCUUUUGGGGAAAGGCUUGCUGCCGAAGGAUCGGCCCGCGUCUGAUUAGCUAGUUGGUGGGGUAAUGGCCUACCAAGGCGACGAUCAGUAGCUGGUCUGAGAGGAUGAUCAGCCACACUGGGACUGAGACACGGCCCAGACUCCUACGGGAGGCAGCAGUGGGGAAUAUUGGACAAUGGGCGCAAGCCUGAUCCAGCCAUGCCGCGUGAGUGAUGAAGGCCUUAGGGUUGUAAAGCUCUUUUGUCCGGGACGAUAAUGACGGUACCGGAAGAAUAAGCCCCGGCUAACUUCGUG
rnacentral:rRNA from 1 species